AACGGGAAUUACUUUAUUGAAACUUCGGUCGAUUUAAUUUAAUUCUAGUGGCGGACGGGUGAGUAACGCGUGGGUAACCUGCCUUAUACAGGGGGAUAACAGUCAGAAAUGGCUGCUAACACCGCAUAAGCGCACAGAGCUGCAUGGCUCAGUGUGAAAAACUCCGGUGGUAUAAGAUGGACCCGCGUUGGAUUAGCUAGUUGGUGGGGUAACGGCCCACCAAGGCGACGAUCCAUAGCCGGCCUGAGAGGGUGAACGGCCACAUUGGGACUGAGACACGGCCCAGACUCCUACGGGAGGCAGCAGUGGGGAAUAUUGCACAAUGGGGGAAACCCUGAUGCAGCGACGCCGCGUGAAGGAAGAAGUAUCUCGGUAUGUAAACUUCUAUCAGCAGGGAAGAUAGUGACGGUACCUGACUAAGAAGCCCCGGCUAACUACGUGCCAGCAGCCGCGGUAAUACGUAGGGGGCAAGCGUUAUCCGGAUUUACUGGGUGUAAAGGGAGCGUAGACGGUGUGGCAAGUCUGAUGUGAAAGGCAUGGGCUCAACCUGUGGACUGCAUUGGAAACUGUCAUACUUGAGUGCCGGAGGGGUAAGCGGAAUUCCUAGUGUAGCGGUGAAAUGCGUAGAUAUUAGGAGGAACACCAGUGGCGAAGGCGGCUUACUG
rnacentral:rRNA from 1 species